rnacentral:rRNA from 1 species
CGCCAGACUCCUACGGGAGGCAGCAGUGGGGGAUAUUGCACAAUGGGGGGAACCCUGAUGCAGCGACGCCGCGUGAGCGAUGAAGUAUUUCGGUAUGUAAAGCUCUAUCAGCAGGGAAGAAAAUGACGGUACCCGACUAAGAAGCCCCGGCUAACUACGUGCCAGCAGCCGCGGUAAUACGUAGGGGGCAAACGUUAUCCGGAUUUACUGGGUGUAAAGGGAGCGUAGACGGCAGUGCAAGUCUGAAGUGAAAGGCAGGGGCUCAACCCUUGGACUGCUUUGGAAACUGUGCUGCUGGAGUGUCGGAGAGGGAAGUGGAAUUCCUAGUGUAGCGGUGAAAUGCGUAGAUAUUAGGAGGAACACCAGUGGCGAAGGCGGCUUACUGGACUGUAACUGACAUUGAGGCUCGAAAGCGUGGGGAGCAAACAGGAUUAGAUACCCUAGUACG